CUGCAAGUCAUGCCCCGCCGGCGACUUCACAGUGCCUUCUGCCUGGGCUUCUCCGCAGCCCCUCCAGCUUCCUGUGGAGUUAUUCUUAAGAAAAUACAUUGCAAGCCCUAAGGAGUAACCGUGCAAGCAGCUGAAACGUGCCUGGAUGCAUAUUCAUCUAUGCUGGAAUUGAAUCUUGAGGUAAACCCAGAAACUACACAUCUCAAAGUUGUAUGAGUUCAUAUGACUGGCUCCCUUGUGGAGAAGCAGCAGAAUGAAGAACUAUAGUAUGUGAAGAGGCACCACCGCCACCUCAACCUU